GCCUGGAUGGCUCAGUUGGUUGAGCAUCUGACUUUGGCUCAGGUCAUGAUCUCACAGUUCUUGAGUUCAAGCCCCACAUCAGGCU
rfam:Felis catus isolate Cinnamon breed Abyssinian chromosome B4, whole genome shotgun sequence.